rnacentral:rRNA from 1 species
CCUACGGGAGGCAGCAGUGGGGAAUUUUGGACAAUGGGCGAAAGCCUGAUCCAGCGACGCCGCGUGUGCGAUGAAGGCCUUUGGGUCGUAAAGCACUGUCGACAGGGACGAAAACUCCGCGGAUAACACCCGCGGGGCUUGACUGUACCUGUGGAGGAAGCACCGGCUAACUCUGUGCCAGCAGCCGCGGUAAUACAGAGGGUGCAAACGUUGCUCGGAAUUACUGGGCGUAAAGCGCGUGUAGGCGGUCCGUUAAGUUGGUAGUGAAAUCCCAUGGCUCAACCAUGGAAGUGCUACCAAAACUGGCGGGCUGGAGUGCCGGAGAGGGUGGCGGAAUUCCCAGUGUAGAGGUGAAAUUCGUAGAUAUUGGGAGGAACACCGGUGGCGAAGGCGGCCACCUGGACGGUAACUGACGCUGAGACGCGAAAGCGUGGGGAGC